rnacentral:rRNA from 2 species
UGGUAAAUGCAGAAGUCUGACGGAGCACGCCGCGUGAACGAAGAAGGCCUUCGGGUCGUAAAGUUCUGUUGUUAGGGAAGAACAAGUACCAGAGUAACUGCUGGUACCUUGACGGUACCUAACCAGAAAGCCACGGCUAACUACGUGCCAGCAGCCGCGGUAAUACGUAGGUGGCAAGCGUUGUCCGGAAUUAUUGGGCGUAAAGCGCGCGCAGGUGGUUCUUUAAGUCUGAUGUGAAAGCCCACGGCUCAACCGUGGAGGGUCAUUGGAAACUGGGGAACUUGAGUGCAGAAGAGGAAAGUGGAAUUCCAAGUGUAGCGGUGAAAUGCGUAGAGAUUUGGAGGAACACCAGUGGCGAAGGCGACUUUCUGGUCUGUAACUGACACUGAGGCGCGAAAGCGUGGGGAGCAAACAGGAUUAGAUACCCUGGUAGUCCACGCCGUAAACGAUGAGUGCUAAGUGUUAGAGGGUUUCCGCCCUUUAGUGCUGCAGCUAACGCAUUAAGCACUCCGCCUGGGGAGUACGGCCGCAAGGCUGAAACUCAAAGGAAUUGACGGA